rnacentral:rRNA from 1 species
UGGGGAAUAUUGGACAAUGGGCGGAAGCCUGAUCCAGCCAUGCCGCGUGUGUGAAGAAGGCCUUUUGGUUGUAAAGCACUUUAAGCGAGGAGGAGGCUACUUGGAUUAAUACUCUAGGAUAGUGGACGUUACUCGCAGAAUAAGCACCGGCUAACUCUGUGCCAGCAGCCGCGGUAAUACAGAGGGUGCGAGCGUUAAUCGGAUUUACUGGGCGUAAAGCGUGCGUAGGCGGCUUCUUAAGUCGGAUGUGAAAUCCCUGAGCUUAACUUAAGAAUUGCAUUCGAUACUGGGAAGCUAGAGUAUGGGAGAGGAUGGUAGAAUUCCAGGUGUAGCGGUGAAAUGCGUAGAGAUCUGGAGGAAUACCGAUGGCGAAGGCAGCCAUCUGGCCUAAUACUGACGCUGAGGUACGAAAGCAUGGGGAGCAAACAGG